GACGUAGGGGGCCAGCGUUGUUCGGAAUUACUGGGCGUAAAGGGCGCGUAGGCGGUCAGCACAAGUCAGUUGUGAAAUCUCCGGGCUUAACUCGGAAAGGUCAACUGAUACUGUGCGACUAGAGUGCGGAAGGGGCAACUGGAAUUCUCGGUGUAGCGGUGAAAUGCGUAGAUAUCGAGAGGAACACCUGCGGCGAAGGCGGGUUGCUGGGCCGACACUGACGCUGAUGCGCGAAAGCCAGGGGAGCGAACGGG
rnacentral:rRNA from 1 species